GACGAACGCUGGCGGCGUGCCUAAUACAUGCAAGUCGAGCGCGGGAAACUGACGGAACUCUUCGGAGGGAAGGCAGUGGAAUGAGCGGCGGACGGGUGAGUAACACGUAAGGAACCUGCCUCAAGGAUUGGGAUAACUCCGAGAAAUCGGAGCUAAUACCGGGUAGUUCAACGGACCGCAUGGUCCGCUGAUGAAAGGCGCUCCGGCGUCACCUUGAGAUGGCCUUGCGGUGUAUUAGCUAGUUGGUGGGGUAACGGCCCACCAAGGCGACGAUGCAUAGCCGACCUGAGAGGGUGAUCGGCCACACUGGGACUGAGACACGGCCCAGACUCCUACGGGAGGCAGCAGUAGGGAAUCUUCCACAAUGGACGAAAGUCUGAUGGAGCAACGCCGCGUGAGUGAUGAAGGUUUUCGGAUCGUAAAACUCUGUUGUAAGGGAAGAACACGUACGAGAGGGAAUGCUCGUACCUUGACGGUACCUUACGAGAAAGCCACGGCUAACUACGUGCCAGCAGCCGCAGUAA
rnacentral:rRNA from 1 species